rnacentral:rRNA from 1 species
AUGUUCUUUAGCACUCCUUUAGGAGCUUCUAGGAAGGAAAGCAUAUACAAGGAAAUGCCACUAAGACAUGAAUUCACUAGGGUAACAGUGCUUUGCACGAUCUGGAGGUCAAGAGCACCCAUGACAUGCAAGGUGUUUGGGUGGUUGGCAGCACACGAUAGAUAUUGGAUGGCCAGGCUAGAGCGGCGUGGGCUUCCGCACCCAAUAGAUUGUCCAUUUUGUGACCAACAACUUGAGAACCUUCAACCCAUUCUUCUUGGGUGUGUGCUUGCAAAGGAGGUGUGGUCAGUUAUCCUCGGGGAUUGGGGAAAGCUUGAGUGGAUCCCAACAAUGGACAAUGACCUGGUGUAUUGGUGGACAAGAAAGGAAGCUGCGGGAUGGCUCACUAGUGACAUUCAAAUGACCAUCUUGCUUGUUUUAUGGAGCCUUUGGACGCACAAGAACAAUGUGGUGUUCAAUGGCAUGACCCUAGGGAGAUGGAUGUAG